GUGCUCGCUUUGGCAGCACAUCUGCUAAAACUGGGAUGACACAGAGACGAUUGGUGUGGCCUCUGCACCAGGAAGACACGCAAAUUCAUAAAGCCGAAGUUUUU